rnacentral:rRNA from 1 species
ACACUCCUACGGGAGGCAGCAGUGGGGAAUUUUGGACAAUGGGCGAAAGCCUGAUCCAGCAAUGCCGCGUGUGUGAAGAAGGCCUUCGGGUUGUAAAGCACUUUUGUCCGGAAAGAAAUCCUUGGCUCUAAUACAGUCGAGGGAUGACGGUACCGGAAGAAUAAGCACCGGCUAACUACGUGCCAGCAGCCGCGGUAAUACGUAGGGUGCGAGCGUUAAUCGGAAUUACUGGGCGUAAAGCGUGCGCAGGCGGUUUGCUAAGACCGAUGUGAAAUCCCCGGGCUCAACCUGGGAACUGCAUUGGUGACUGGCAGGCUAGAGUAUGGCAGAGGGGGGUAGAAUUCCACGUGUAGCAGUGAAAUGCGUAGAGAUGUGGAGGAAUACCGAUGGCGAAGGCAGCCCCCUGGGCCAAUACUGACGCUCAUGCACGAAAGCGUGGGGAGCAAACAGGAUUAGAUACCCCUGUAGUCCCAUGA